CACGUAGGGGACGAGCGUUGUCCGGAAUUAUUGGGCGUAAAGGGCGCGUAGGCGGUUUGACAAGUCUGAUGUGAAAUCUAUGGGCUCAACCCAUAGCCUGCAUUAGAAACUGUCGGGCUUGAGUAUGGGAGAGGUGAGUGGAAUUUCCGGUGUAGCGGUGAAAUGCGUAGAUAUCGGAAGGAACACCUGUGGCGAAAGCGGCUCACUGGACCAUAACUGACGCUGAGGCGCGAAAGCUAGGGGAGCAAACGGG
rnacentral:rRNA from 1 species